GUACAUUUUUUUCUUUUUCAUAAAUGAAUUAUUUAGUACUAUUAUUGAAAGGAUUGUCAUCAUAAAAAAUUAUUCAUAUUUGAAAGAUUUGAAAUUUAAAAUAUCAAAUAAAAACACACUUCCAGGGAAUGUUUUAAAAAUAUAUCCACAAAAUGGUUAUAUACAUUACAUAUAUUAUAUGUAACAAUAAUGGUGACAAUAUAACUGCAACCUAUACAUUCCUCAUUUUCUGACACACUUUACUAUAAAUUUUUUUUUUUUUUUUUUUUUUUUUUUUUCCCAACAAAAUAGGUAUUGUAAAAAAAAGAGAACACGUUCUUUUGACGUUCACCUUCAUCCUUACUGAUAUACUAUUAGAUAUAGAGGGAAAUAUCCAAAUAGAAUUGAAAUUUAUAGAAAAUGAUUAUACUACAACUAGCACUCUUGAAAAUAUACAAAAAAACACAGAUGAUUUAUACGAAGAGGAAAUUGGUACAUAAAAUGUAUUUUAUUAAAAAUAUACGCACAUAUAUAUACACAUAUAUAUAUAUAUAUAUAUAUAUAUAUAUACAUUUAUAUACAUUAUAAAAUUUUAUUUUUUUCUAUUCAAAAAAAUAGAAGAAGUAUAUGAAGACACAAGAGAAGAAGGUGUAGGAGCUAACGUUCUGUCAACACAAAAAAAAAAAAAAAAAUUGAUGAUUUAACUUUCUCACACGCUCAAAAAAUAUUUGACAACAUUCAAACGUUUAAAUACACAUAUGACAACAUUAGUAGAAGUACGCUUCAAAAGGCAAUAAGACGACUGUAUGGAAUUCCAAAUGAUGAUGAUAUUGUCGAAAAAGAAAAUGUGAAAGAAACAAAUAUAGAGAGAGUUAAACAAUUUAGUAAAUUUUAUUUUUACGUUCACAUAAAAAUAUACACAUGCAACUCUAAAGAUGUAGUAAUGAAAAGCGAAAAGUUUGAAAAUUUAACUGAAACUAAUAUUUAUCCUAAACAUUUAUAUUUUAAAAGAUAUAUUUAUUUACCAAUUCCAAUGGAGGACAAAUCUAAAAGCUUUUUUAAAAGACAUUAUUUUGAUUUUGAUAAAUUAGAAAAUUUAAAGAUUCAAAAUAAAAUGGAAAAUGAAAUACCAGAUGAGCAAACAAUUUUAUAUCAUAAAAGAAAAAUUUACUGUUGUAUGUUUUCGGAAAUGUUUAAAAGUAUAAUUAAGACACAUAUCAAGAAAUAUGUUACAGAACUUUUGAAUAUUAGCUCAUGUUCAAUACAAACGAUUGAUAAAAUUUUAAGUGAAGAUUUGAUUGAUGUUAUAAAAAGAAACAAAAAAGCGGAUGUAGUAAACAGCCCAAUAGAACAUAAUUAUUCAUUUUUAAAACCGACGAUUUUGUCCCAUUUUUUUUCAAGUAUUUUUUCAGAUGUUAUUAAAAAUCUUACAAAUGAAAAUGUUGUAUUUACUAAAAAAGCUUAAUUGGAAAUUUUGUACAAAUUAAAACUUAAACAAAUGCGUAAAUUAAUAAAAUAAUAAAAUAAUAAAAUUAUAAAAUAAUA
rnacentral:lncRNA from 1 species